UGGGGAAUAUUGGACAAUGGGCGAAAGCCUGAUCCAGCAAUACCGCGUGUGUGAAGAAGGCCUUCGGGUUGUAAAGCACUUUCAGUAAGGAAGAAUGGCCCAAGAUUAAUACUCUUGGGAGGUGACAUUACUUACAGAAGAAGCACCGGCUAACUCUGUGCCAGCAGCCGCGGUAAUACAGAGGGUGCAAGCGUUAAUCGGAAUUACUGGGCGUAAAGCGCACGUAGGUGGAUAUUUAAGUCGAAUGUGAAAGCCCUGGGCUCAACCUGGGAACUGCAUUCGAUACUGGGUAUCUAGAGUAUGGUAGAGGGUAGUGGAAUUUCCGGUGUAGCGGUGAAAUGCGUAGAUAU
rnacentral:rRNA from 1 species